AGCACCCAUGUACCAAACAGCCAAUGUGGCUGGAAGAUACUUUAUUAACUGUACCCUGAGAAGAAGGAAAAAAGAAUGUUUCAUCAAGAAGAGAUCCAGAGUUAAAAGCUAAAAAAAGAAAACCCAAAACCCCUACCUUAGCAGCCACUGGAGGAUUCCCUGGGAAGGGGGUUACUCUAUAACCAUAUUGAAACCAAGGAGCAAAUACUCUGAUAUGACCUACAUGUGAAGAGACCUCAAGGAAUCUGGAGUCUCCAACGUUAUCUGCUGGAUGGUCUGAACAACCUGGUAUAUCUAUACAAUGGAAUAUUAUUCACCAUGGCUUGGUAGCUUGUUUAUUUUUAUUGAAAAGAUAUGGAAGAACCUUAAAAACAUAUUGCUAAGGGAAAGAAAACAAUCUGAAAAGGUUACAUACUGUAUGAUUUCAAUAUAUGACAUUCUGGAAAAGAUAAAACUAUGGAGACAAAAAACAAAAACACAGUAGUUGCCAUGGUUUCCAGGGAAGGAAGGAAGUGAUGAAUAGGUAGAACACAGGAUUUUUAGAGCAGUGACCAAUUUUUCCAUAGGAUACUGUAAUGUUGGAUACAUGUCUUUAUACGUUAAAACCCACAAAGAGUUUGGCAAAGAGUAAACUCUAAACUAUAAACACUGUAUCAAUAUUGGCUCAACUGUAACAAAUGUACAUUUGUAUGUAUGUGUCAAUAACUGGAAAAACAGUAUAUAUGUGUGUUAUUUUUUGUGGGGAAGUGAAGUGAAGUAUAUAAAAACACUACUUUCCACUUAAUUUUUCUAUAUGUCUAAAAUUGUCACAAAGAUAAACUUCAGCAAUUAAAAACAUAGUGGGAAAAGUCUUUUCAAAGUAUGGGUUUACAACAAUGAAUAUGGACAAGAAAAUGGAUCUCAAGGGCCUACCUCACACAAAAAACUAAGAUUGAUCACAGACCUAAACAGAAAGGUAGAACUACAAAAAUUCUAGAAUUUUAAAAAAGAGUAUCUUAAAAACUGAGGGGUACACAAGUUUCUUAGGAUCCAGUAAGCAAUAACCACAGAAGUACAAUAUGACACACUGGACUGCAUCAAAAUUAAAAGCUGCUGUUUAUCCAAUGAUACCAUUAAAAGAUACAGACUGGGAAAAAAAUAUUGACAAUACAUUUAACUGAAAAGGAUUUGUAUUGUAACUGUAAAAAGAAAAGAAUUACUAUACUUCAAUAACAACACACCCAGUUAAAAGGGGACAAACUACUUGAACAGGCCCUUCUGACUGAAACACAGGAAAAAGGACUAAUGAGAAAA